UACGUAGGUGGCAAGCGUUGCCCGGAUUUACUGGGCGUAAAGAGCGCGCAGGCGGUCUUGUAAGUCGAAUGUGAAAGCCCCUGGCUCAACCGGGGAGGGUCAUUCGAUACUGCUCGACUCGAAGGCAGGAGAGGGAAGCGGAAUUCCCGGUGUAGUGGUGAAAUGCGUAGAUAUCGGGAGGAACACCAGUGGCGAAGGCGGCUUUCUGGCCUGUUCUUGACGCUGAGGCGCGAAAGCUAGGGGAGCAAACGGG
rnacentral:rRNA from 1 species